GUAGAACGCUGAAGGAGGAGCUUGCUUCUCUGGAUGAGUUGCGAACGGGUGAGUAACGCGUAGGUAACCUGCCUGGUAGUGGGGGAUAACUAUUGGAAACGAUAGCUAAUACCGCAUAAUAGCAGUUGUUGCAUGAUAACUGUUUGAAAGGUGCAAUUGCACCGCUACCAGAUGGACCUGCGUUGUAUUAGCUAGUUGGUGGGGUAACGGCUCACCAAGGCGACGAUACAUAGCCGACCUGAGAGGGUGAUCGGCCACACUGGGACUGAGACACGGCCCAGACUCCUACGGGAGGCAGCAGUAGGGAAUCUUCGGCAAUGGACGGAAGUCUGACCGAGCAACGCCGCGUGAGUGAAGAAGGUUUUCGGAUCGUAAAGCUCUGUUGUAAGAGAAGAACGAGUGUGAGAGUGGAAAGUUCACACUGUGACGGUAUCUUACCAGAAAGGGACGGCUAACUACGUGCCAGCAGCCGCGGUAAUACGUAGGUCCCGAGCGUUGUCCGGACUUAUUGGGCGUAAAGCGAGCGCAGGCGGUUAGAUAAGUCUGAAGUUAAAGGCUGUGGCUUAACCAUAGUACGCUUUGGAAACUGUUUAACUUGAGUGCAAGAGGGGAGAGUGGAAUUCCAUGUGUAGCGGUGAAAUGCGUAGAUAUAUGGAGGACACCGGUGGCGAAAGCGGCUCUCU
rnacentral:rRNA from 1 species